ensembl:lncRNA
GGAAGAGACUGAGAACACUGAGAACAUGACUGAGAACAGUGGAAAAGACUGAGAACAGUGUAAGUGACUGAGAACAGUGGAAGAGACUGAGAACGUAGAAUAGACAGAACAGUGGAAGUGACAGAACAGUGGAAGAGACAGAACAUUGGACGUGUCUGAGAACAGUAGAAGAGUCAGAACAGUGGAAGUGACUGAGAACAGUAGAAGAGUGAGAACAGUGGAAGUGACUGAGAACAGUAGAAGAGACAGAACAGUGGAAGUGACUGAGAACAGUGGAAGUGACUGAGAACAGUGGAAGAGACUGAGAACAGUGGAAGUGACUGAGAACAGUGGAAGAGACUGAGAACAGUGGAAGUGACUGAGAACAGUAGAAGAGUCAGAACAGUGGAAGUGACUGAGAACAGUGGAAGUGACUGAGAACAGUGGAAGAGACUGAGAACAGUGGAAGAGACUGAGAAAGGUGGAAGUGACUGAGAACAGUGGAGGAGACUGACAACAGUGGAAGUGACUGAGAACAGUGGAAGUGACUGAGAACAGUGGAAGUGACUGAGAACAGUGGAAGUGACUGAGAACAGUGGAAGUGACAGAGAACAGUGGAAGUGACUGAGAACAGUGGAAGAGUCAGAACAGUGGAAGAGACAGAACAGUGGAAGUGACAGAACAGUGGAAGAGACA